CGCGUAGGUGUCCUGGCAAGUCAGAUGUGGAAUCUUUCCGCUUAACGGAAAAAUUGCAUUUGAAACUGCCGGGAUUGAGUCAGACAGGGGAUGGCGGAAUUCCUGGUGUAGCGGUGAAAUGCGUAGAUAUCAGGAGGAAGGCCUGUGGUGAAGACGGCCAUCUGGGUCUGAACUGACACUGAGGCGCGAAAGCGUGGGUAGCAAACAGGAUUAGAUACCCUGGUAGUCCACGCCCUAAACGGUGGGUACUAGGUGUGGGGCUCGCAAGGGUUCCGUGCCGAAGGGAAACCAUUAAGUACCCCGCCUGGGGAGUACGGCCGCAAGGUUGAA
rnacentral:rRNA from 1 species